rnacentral:tRNA from 1 species
GGCCUGAUAGUUCAGUGGUAGAAUUCUUGCUUUGGGUGCAUUAAUGUAAGAGGUCUCCGGUUCGAUCCCGGAUUAGGCCC